CCUACGGGAGGCUGCAGUGGGGAAUAUUGGACAAUGGGGGCAACCCUGAUCCAGCCAUGCCGCGUGUGUGAAGAAGGCCCUCGGGUUGUAAAGCACUUUCAGUGAGGAAGAACGCCUGGUGGUUAAUACCCAUCAGGAAAGACAUCACUCACAGAAGAAGCACCGGCUAACUCCGUGCCAGCAGCCGCGGUAAUACGGAGGGUGCGAGCGUUAAUCGGAAUUACUGGGCGUAAAGCGCGCGUAGGUGGCUUGAUAAGCCGGUUGUGAAAGCCCCGGGCUCAACCUGGGAACGGCAUCCGGAACUGUCAAGCUAAAGUGCAGGAGAGGAAGGUAGAAUUCCCGGUGUAGCGGUGAAAUGCGUAGAGAUCGGGAGGAAUACCAGUGGCGAAGGCGGCCUUCUGGACUGACACUGACACUGAGGUGCGAAAGCGUGGGUAGCAAACAGGAUUAGAUACCCUUGUAGUC
rnacentral:rRNA from 1 species